UACUUAUAUUCCUAAAGCUUUUAUCUUACAAUUUUUAUAUACACAAUGAGCUUCUAGUAAUCCCCUAGAGAGACUUUCUACCAUUAAUACUUCUGCUAAAGAUUCUUCCCUAAUAUCAAGCUUACAAGCAAAUGUACAGUAAAUAAAAUAGUGAGUAGCACAUGUAUCGAUCAAAGCUUUGGUAGAAGUAUCAUGAAUAGAAAGUUUACCCUUGAUAAGAACA
rnacentral:lncRNA from 1 species